rnacentral:rRNA from 1 species
GGGUCAGUAGGUUGGUCGUGCCACCGGUACGUACUGGUCUCACUGAUUCCUCCUUCCUGAAGAACCGUAAUGCCACUAAUUUGGUGUUGCGGGGAAAAAGGACUGUUACUUUGAAAAAAUUAGAGUGUUUAAAGCAAGCUAACGCUUGAAUACAUUAGCAUGGAAUAAUGAAAUAGGACGAUCGAUCCUAUUUUGUUGGUUUCUAGGAUUGACGUA